GACGAACGCUGGCGGCGUGCUUAACACAUGCAAGUCGAACGGAAAGGCCCUGCUUGCAGGGUACUCGUGUGGCGAACGGGUGAGUAACACGUGGGUGAUCUGCCCUGCACUUCGGGAUAAGCUUGGGAAACUGGGUCUAAUACCGGAUAGGAGCCAUCUUUAGUGUGGUGGUUGGAAAGUUUUUUCGGUGUAGGAUGAGCUCGCGGCCUAUCAGCUUGUUGGUGGGGUAAUGGCCUACCAAGGCGGCGACGGGUAGCCGGCCUGAGAGGGUGUACGGCCACAUUGGGACUGAGAGACGGCCCAGACUCCUACGGGAGGCAGCAGUGGGGAAUAUUGCACAAUGGGCGCAAGCCAGAGGCAGCGACGCCGCGUGGGGGAUGAAGGCCUUCGGGUUGUAAACUCCUUUCGCUAGGGACGAAGCUUUUUUGUGACGGUACCUAGAUAAGAAGCACCGGCUAACUACGUG
rnacentral:rRNA from 1 species